GCCUCAGCCUGCAUAGCUCCGUUGGUUAGAGUAUGGUGCAGAUAAUGCCAAGGUUGCAAGUUCAAUCCCCGCGUGGGGCA